rnacentral:rRNA from 1 species
UACGGAGGAUGCAAGCGUUAUCCGGAUUUAUUGGGUUUAAAGGGUGCGCAGGUUGUUUGAUAAGUCAGUGGUGAAAGUCUGUCGCUUAACGGUAGGAUUGCCAUUGAUACUGUUAGACUUGAAUAUGGAUGAGGUAGGCGGAAUGUGUAGUGUAGCGGUGAAAUGCUUAGAUAUUACACAGAACACCGAUUGCGAAGGCAGCUUACUAAUCCAUGAUUGACGCUGAGGCACGAAAGCGUGGGGAUCAAACAGGA